GUGGGUUUUGAUGGGUUUUGGUGGAUUUCAGAAGGGUUUGGGUGGGUUUCGGUGAGUUUUGGUGAAUUUCGGUGGAUUCGGGUGGGUUUUGAUGGAUUUUGGUGGAUUUCAGAAGGGUUUGGGUGGGUUUUGGUGAAUUUUGGUGAAUUUCGGUGGAUUCGGGUGGGUUUUGAUGGGUUUUGUUGAAUUUUGGUGAAUUUCGGUGGAUUUGGGUGGGUUAUGGGUGAGUUUUGGUGAAUUUUGGUGAAUUUCGGUGGAUUCGGGUGGGUUAUGGGUGGGUUUUGGUGGGGUUUGAUGGAUU
rnacentral:lncRNA from 1 species